rnacentral:rRNA from 1 species
GACGAACGCUGGCGGCGUGCCUAACACAUGCAAGUCGAACGCACAGUUUAUACCUUAUCUUGCUACACCAUAGACUGUGAGGUGCGAACGGGUGAGUAACGCGUAGGUAACCUGCCUGGUAGCGGGAGACAACUAUUGGUAACGAUAGCUAAUACCGCAUAAUAUUGAUUAUUGCAUGAUAAUUGAUUGAAAGUUGCUAUUGCAUCACUACCAGAUGGACCUGCGUUGUAUUAGCUAGUAGGGGAGGUAAGGGCGCACCUACGCGACGAGACAUAGCCGACCUGGGAGGGUGAGCGGCCACACUGGGACUGGGACACGGCCCAGACCCCUACGGGUGGGAGAAGUAGGGAAUCUUCAGGAAUGGCAGUAGGGGUGACCGUGCAACGCCGCGUGAGUGAAGAAGAUUGUCGGGUCGUGGAGUUUAGUUGGAAGUGAAGAACGGAUGGGGGAGUGGAAAGGUCAGAUUGUGACGGUAUCGGACGAAAAAGGGCCGGCUAACUCCGUG